GGGUUGUGAGGUUAAGCGACUAAGCGUACACGGUGGAUGCCCUGGCAGUCAGAGGCGAUGAAGGACGUGCUAAUCUGCGAUAAGCGUCGGUAAGGUGAUAUGAACCGUUAUAACCGGCGAUUUCCGAAUGGGGAAACCCAGUGUGUUUCGACACACUAUCAUUAACUGAAUCCAUAGGUUAAUGAGGCGAACCGGGGGAACUGAAACAUCUAAGUACCCCGAGGAAAAGAAAUCAACCGAGAUUCCCCCAGUAGCGGCGAGCGAACGGGGAGCAGCCCAGAGCCUGAAUCAGUGUGUGUGUUAGUGGAAGCGUCUGGAAAGGCGCGCGAUACAGGGUGACAGCCCCGUACACAAAAAUGCACAUAUUGUGAGCUCGAUGAGUAGGGCGGGACACGUGGUAUCCUGUCUGAAUAUGGGGGGACCAUCCUCCAAGGCUAAAUACUCCUGACUGACCGAUAGUGAACCAGUACCGUGAGGGAAAGGCGAAAAGAACCCCGGCGAGGGGAGUGAAAAAGAACCUGAAACCGUGUACGUACAAGCGGUGGGAGCACGCUUAGGCGUGUGACUGCGUACCUUUUGUAUAAUGGGUCAGCGACUUAUAUUCUGUAGCAAGGUUAACCGAAUAGGGAGCCGAAGGGAAACCGAGUCUUAACUGGGCGUUAAGUUGCAGGGUAUAGACCCGAAACCCGGUGAUCUAGCCAUGGGCAGGUUGAAGGUUGGGUAACACUAACUGGAGGACCGAACCGACUAAUGUUGAAAAAUUAGCGGAUGACUUGUGGCUGGGGGUGAAAGGCCAAUCAAACCGGGAGAUAGCUGGUUCUCCCCGAAAGCUAUUUAGGUAGCGCCUCGUGAAUUCAUCUCCGGGGGUAGAGCACUGUUUCGGCAAGGGGGUCAUCCCGACUUACCAACCCGAUGCAAACUGCGAAUACCGGAGAAUGUUAUCACGGGAGACACACGGCGGGUGCUAACGUCCGUCGUGAAGAGGGAAACAACCCAGACCGCCAGCUAAGGUCCCAAAGUCAUGGUUAAGUGGGAAACGAUGUGGGAAGGCCCAGACAGCCAGGAUGUUGGCUUAGAAGCAGCCAUCAUUUAAAGAAAGCGUAAUAGCUCACUGGUCGAGUCGGCCUGCGCGGAAGAUGUAACGGGGCUAAACCAUGCACCGAAGCUGCGGCAGCGACGCUUAUGCGUUGUUGGGUAGGGGAGCGUUCUGUAAGCCUGUGAAGGUGUGCUGUGAGGCAUGCUGGAGGUAUCAGAAGUGCGAAUGCUGACAUAAGUAACGAUAAAGCGGGUGAAAAGCCCGCUCGCCGGAAGACCAAGGGUUCCUGUCCAACGUUAAUCGGGGCAGGGUGAGUCGACCCCUAAGGCGAGGCCGAAAGGCGUAGUCGAUGGGAAACAGGUUAAUAUUCCUGUACUUGGUGUUACUGCGAAGGGGGGACGGAGAAGGCUAUGUUGGCCGGGCGACGGUUGUCCCGGUUUAAGCGUGUAGGCUGGUUUUCCAGGCAAAUCCGGAAAAUCAAGGCUGAGGCGUGAUGACGAGGCACUACGGUGCUGAAGCAACAAAUGCCCUGCUUCCAGGAAAAGCCUCUAAGCAUCAGGUAACAUCAAAUCGUACCCCAAACCGACACAGGUGGUCAGGUAGAGAAUACCAAGGCGCUUGAGAGAACUCGGGUGAAGGAACUAGGCAAAAUGGUGCCGUAACUUCGGGAGAAGGCACGCUGAUAUGUAGGUGAAGUCCCUCGCGGAUGGAGCUGAAAUCAGUCGAAGAUACCAGCUGGCUGCAACUGUUUAUUAAAAACACAGCACUGUGCAAACACGAAAGUGGACGUAUACGGUGUGACGCCUGCCCGGUGCCGGAAGGUUAAUUGAUGGGGUUAGCCGCAAGGCGAAGCUCUUGAUCGAAGCCCCGGUAAACGGCGGCCGUAACUAUAACGGUCCUAAGGUAGCGAAAUUCCUUGUCGGGUAAGUUCCGACCUGCACGAAUGGCGUAAUGAUGGCCAGGCUGUCUCCACCCGAGACUCAGUGAAAUUGAACUCGCUGUGAAGAUGCAGUGUACCCGCGGCAAGACGGAAAGACCCCGUGAACCUUUACUAUAGCUUGACACUGAACAUUGAGCCUUGAUGUGUAGGAUAGGUGGGAGGCUUUGAAGUGUGGACGCCAGUCUGCAUGGAGCCGACCUUGAAAUACCACCCUUUAAUGUUUGAUGUUCUAACGUUGACCCGUAAUCCGGGUUGCGGACAGUGUCUGGUGGGUAGUUUGACUGGGGCGGUCUCCUCCUAAAGAGUAACGGAGGAGCACGAAGGUUGGCUAAUCCUGGUCGGACAUCAGGAGGUUAGUGCAAUGGCAUAAGCCAGCUUGACUGCGAGCGUGACGGCGCGAGCAGGUGCGAAAGCAGGUCAUAGUGAUCCGGUGGUUCUGAAUGGAAGGGCCAUCGCUCAACGGAUAAAGGUACUCCGGGGAUAACAGGCUGAUACCGCCCAAGAGUUCAUAUCGACGGCGGUGUUUGGCACCUCGAUGUCGGCUCAUCACAUCCUGGGGCUGAAGUAGGUCCCAAGGGUAUGGCUGUUCGCCAUUUAAAGUGGUACGCGAGCUGGGUUUAGAACGUCGUGAGACAGUUCGGUCCCUAUCUGCCGUGGGCGCUGGAGAACUGAGGGGGGCUGCUCCUAGUACGAGAGGACCGGAGUGGACGCAUCACUGGUGUUCGGGUUGUCAUGCCAAUGGCACUGCCCGGUAGCUAAAUGCGGAAGAGAUAAGUGCUGAAAGCAUCUAAGCACGAAACUUGCCCCGAGAUGAGUUCUCCCUGACUCCUUGAGAGUCCUGAAGGAACGUUGAAGACGACGACGUUGAUAGGCCGGGUGUGUAAGCGCAGCGAUGCGUUGAGCUAACCGGUACUAAUGAACCGUGAGGCUUAACCUUACAACGCCGAAGGUGUUU
rnacentral:rRNA from 1 species